rnacentral:lncRNA from 1 species
AUGGCUCCCAGAUGGGGCUGUGGGAGGAAGUUAAUUGGCACUGACGCAAAGACUUCUGCUGAAAUUGCAAAUCACCCCCAAAAUCAUCCCCCUCGCCUUACAAUCUUGCCACCGGACGGCUUUACCUCCGGAACUGAACACUCCUCCCCCCCGGCUUGGUGGCUCCCUCCGGGGUCUGCGUGCCCCCAGUCCCUCCCGCAGGCGCUGGAUGCACAGCCGGCGGCUCGGCUGCUCCUCAGUCACGCACACGUGGUGCCUCGGCGCCCACCCGCGCUCGUGAUUCGAGUGGCUCCUUAUCCUUGCAGAGCAUCCCUGCAGGGAAUAGGUGGUGUCUGCGUACGGACUCCGUGGGUCUGUACCUCUCCAGGAGCAGGGCUCGCUGCUGGCUGCUGUUUGCACACCUCUGAUCCCCAUGUUAUUUCCAGCGUGUUUGUGCAUCCUUCGGGAAUGACUCCCAUGUCGGACUGCUCCUUUGGUAGUCCAGGGGGUGGCCCAGCUGCUGACAUCACCACAAACCACCCAAGUGUCUCUGGUCCCUUUCCCUGUGUACAUUUGCUUUUCUGUCGCUGGUGGUGUCCUUCCCUUUAACACUAAAUAAAGGUGCAGCAGCGUAGAUCUCUGCUCCUCCU